ACGGCUCAGUAACACGUAGUCAACAUGCCCAGGGGACGUGGAUAACCUCGGGAAACUGAGGAUAAACCACGAUAAGUCACUACUUCUGGAAUGGGUAAUGACUCAAAUCUACAUGGCCCCUGGAUUGGACUGCGGCCGAUCAGGCUGUUGGUGAGGUAAUGGCCCACCAAACCUGUAACCGGUACGGGCUCUGAGAGGAGGAGCCCGGAGAUGGGCACUGAGACAAGGGCCCAGGCCCUAUGGGGCGCAGCAGGCGCGAAACCUCUGCAAUAGGCGAAAGCCUGACAGGGUUACUCUGAGUGAUUUCCGUUAAGGAGAUCUUUUGGCACCUCUAAAAAUGGUGCAGAAUAAGGGGUGGGCAAGUCUGGUGUCAGCCGCCGCGGUAAUACCAGCACCCCGAGUGGUCGGGACGUUUAUUGGGCCUAAAGCAUCCGUAGCCGGUUCUACAAGUCUUCCGUUAAAUCCACCUGCUUAACAGAUGGGCUGCGGAAGAUACUAUAGAGCUAGGAGGCGGGAGAGGCAAGCGGUACUCGAUGGGUAGGGGUAAAAUCCGUUGAUCCAUUGAAGACCACCAGUGGCGAAGGCGGCUUGCCAGAACGCGCUCGACGGUGAGGGAUGAAAGCUGGGGGAGCAAACCGGAUUAGAUACCCGGGUAGUCCCAGCUGUAAACGAUGCAGACUCGGUGAUGAAUUGGCUUUAUGCCAACUCAGUGCCGCAGGGAAGCCGUUAAGUUUGCCGCCUGGGGAGUACGGUCGCAAGACUGAAACUUAAAGGAAUUGGCGGGGGAGCAC
rnacentral:rRNA from 1 species